GCUACAAGAAGCCCAGUGAAGCAGCCCCUGUUGGGGAAAAAAGAAACCCCUGAGUCCAACCAGACAAAAUUCAAGGUUGCCAAGUCCCUACUGAAAACAAAAGGAAGAGUCCUUGUUCCUCAGGCUGAGAAGCAGCAGGAAGGAGGUUUAUUACAAAGUAUGAAAAUCAAGAAGCUUUUUGUUCACUUCAUACAUCUCUUCCAACAAAGCCAGGCAUCAGAACCCAGCACAGACUCCGCAGUGAUUAUUGUUACACAUGAUCUAUGGAGCAGAUAAAUUACAGCUUGAUUUUUAUAAGAAAUCUGUGAAAUGGUAUAAAAAUCUGAAACAGAGAAGGAAGAGCGUGGGUUCUGUCACUUUGCUGCAGAACUGGAUUAUUUUUUCCCCAUUUUGCUCAGUUCCUGGAGGGGGGAGAUGUGAAACCCAGCUAAGUACAAUGGGACCGGUGGAGUCACGAGCACGAACUCCUGCAGUGGGGAGUUUAUGUACAUCUCCUGCUUUGCCGAGCCUUGGAAGCGACCUGAGGAAAGCAAAAUGGAAAGCAAGCCCGCCGGCUCUUGACAGCUCCAAUCAAACGUCUGCCCAAACCUGCAUGGCCCAAGCAACUGGCAUGGUUGAGGCACGGUUAAGAGCGCUUGGAGCGAUACGGUUAGCAUCACAUCUUGGAUUCACCAGCCCGAUUUAUUAGGUACCACUGACAGCCCGGGGGACUGGGGGAUGCACAAGUCCAAACUGACAUCAUCUCCCCAGGCAAAAAAAAAAAUCACCAUGUCCUUGUCAGCAUUGGGCCUUCACCUUAUUGUCCUCCCUCCAUUUCAUGGAGGAUUUAUGCAGGCUGGAGCCAAGUAUGCAAAGCAGAGAGGAAACUCUGCAGGUACCGGCGCCCUGGGAGCGGUGCUCCCGGUUUGUAGCAUCCAUAUGAUUUCCAGAAAUCACUCUGAAUUGUAUUUUAAACUUAGAUGCUCAGUUAGUUCCCUCGCAAAUCCCUGCUAAAGCACCUCUAUGCAUGGCCUGGCUUUUCUUUUUUUAAGGUAGCUUUAUUUAUUUGAACUUCUCAAGUUUUGAUUCAGUCACUUGAAUGGGAGGUUACUGCGUGAAGGUGCACGAGGAUGGACUGGAGCAUCUAAAUGGAGGCCCCCAAACGUGAACGUUUUUCCCUUAACCUUCCUGCACCAUUGGGAAUAAUAAUUCCUAGCAGGGCUGUUGCACAGCUUGAUUCAUUAAGGGUUAUGAAGUGCUUUUAGCUCCGGCACUGGAAGGCUCUGCACGAGUUAUUUUGGACUGCUCAGGUGUUAGGAGGAGAGGCACUGCAGAAGGAAUACAAAUAAAUCAGGAAGAGAAACUGCCCCUUUCCUCCAUCCAGCCCCUGCCCCCCCACUGUUCUCCAUCACUGUUGGUGUCAAAUAGUUAAUUUACAAUCCCAGCACUUUACAAAGCCCCUGGAGCACCAAUUGUCCCUUUCUCAUGCAACAUCAGCUCCUCAAAAAAAGCCAGCUGAGUGUCGGGGUCACCGCUCCUGCCCUUCCCAAGGCAACUUUAGCCCCUAUCCAAAACCACAUGGAUAUUUAUUUCUGGACGAGUCAGAUCCAGCAUCACUCCCUUGCAGCAUGAUGCUGAAAGCACUCAUAUAACCCUGGGAUGCAGAGUGGCUGCUGUCUGGGCUCUGAAAUGUGCCAUGUGCCUGGCCAGACAGGCAAUAAUCAAUUGGUGAAGGUGACCCAGAUAUCCUACCCAACCCACCAUGAGGGCAGCAUCGUCACGCACUGCGCCAGGGACUGCCCGGCCUGGCAGGACCAACCGGGAGAGCGAUAGGUAAAGAAACAAGCUUGUGGUUUGGGAAGGUAAAAGCGAUGGAUGUCUCAUAUGGCUUUUUUUUUUUCCACAUCCCUCUCUCCGUCUCCCUCCCCUCCUCCAGUCUGUUGCACAGGAACUGUCGGCCAUGCUGUUCCAGUUCAGGGGCUCCUGCAACAGAAAAGAUCAGCUGUUGGAGAACCCAUGGAAAGCCCUGGGGGAGAGCCAUGGCCGCAAGGUAAUCAGCAGGCAAAGUUAUUACCAUUAUGCUGCUAAUUAAUUCCCAGCUCAUUACGUUUCCUGUGGCUAAUUUGUACUCGCCGCUGAUUUGA